UCCUCGGUAGUAUAUCGGCUAGUACACCCGCCUGUCAUUCAUAUUGGAAGCGUGGAUUAUACGCGGGAGAGCGGGGUUCGACUCCCCGCCGAGGAG